UUUUUUUUUUUUUUUUUUUGCUUACAUUCCUUUGAGUAUAGGUUCUUUCUGGAUUCAUGUAUCCCUCAUAGAGAUGGAGUUCAGGAUUGGUCUGACUCCAACUGACCAGGCAUGUGACCUCUUAGAGAAGAUUUCAGCUCUACAUGGUAAAAUGUCUGCUGGAUCCUUGCUUUUGUGUGGUGCUUUGAGGUUUAUCAAAUUUUUUUUUUACCUAUUAUUUUAUCUUUACAACAGUCCUGGCUGACAAACAAGGCAGGGAGGGUUAUCUCCUAUUAACUGAAAUGAGUCCUAGGGCUCAAAGAGGCAAAGGUCCCACUUUCAGCUUUGUUCUUUAACUUGGUGGGAGCAUGUGGAGACACUGCUUAGAGAGGCUCAGUGACUGUGUUCAUAUAAUUUGCUUCUGGAUAGACCUUGGCUUAUAUCUAUACCUUUAUUUUGCCACUGUCUUCUUUAUGUUUGAAGAUAAUUCUUUAUGUUUGAAGAUAAUUCUUUACGUUCUUUACCUUAGGAUACACAAUUUGUUCUAUUUCCACCUCCAUCUUGAACUCUGGCAUUCAGUGUUCCACUGUCCUCUGUGAUGUACUAUAUAUCUUGAGGCUUGGGGCUGGUUUUCUCCUCCUGAUUUAAUCUCUCUUGUGUCACUUCAUCUAUCUCUCUCUAAACAGGCCCAGUGACAUUGCUUGUUAGGAACUGGAAUCCAGGCCAGAAGGUCAGGUAGCUGAGGUGAAUCAAGAACCUCAGUUAAACUGACUUCACCCAGUUCUUUCCAUGUUAUUUCUAGUGAGUGCAAAUCAAGGCUAUACCAAAAAUCAGAGAAAGACUCUUUAUUCAGAAAUUGGUACAUUUAGAUUUUUCCCAAAAUGGUGCCCUUUUGUAGACAUGCCCUCCAACUGACGACUCUGAGGGUGGAAUGGAUUUUCUAGUCUCACUUUCAGUCACGAUGUACAAUCUCUUAAAGAAAAGUGUGGAAGUUGGAACAAUACACUAUGCUCUUUAUAAAUGAGACAAAGAACUGAAAUAGAGGAUACAGCCCAAAUUAGCACCAGAGCAACUCCCACUGAUGAGGAAAUUAUCCGACUGCAAAUUACAUACUGUGCUACUCCACAAGCUCCACUGAAGUUUAAGGUAUUGCAUUAAUCAAAAUGAAACAGAAAAAAAAAAAGCUAAAAAAACAAACGCAUCAAGGUGAAGGGGAAAGAAUAUGAAUCAGUAUUUGCAAUGCGCCUCCUAUGCAUCAAUCUAUAUCAAUCAUAUAAAUACCAUUCAAAAAUGGACAAGAUCUGGUAGAAAAUGAAAUGUCAGGAAGUGAAGGCACUUGGCUACUAUCUAAUUCAAGAUUACAAGAUAGGUUAGUUUGGCUUCAGAAUUGCACCCUCCGAGGGCAAGAUAGACUUUCUACUACUCAGUUGAGUAGUAUUGAUUAGAAAAAUCAUCUCUUGUGUCAAAGGAAGGUAAUAUAUGAGAUCUACUUACUACAGAUAAAAUGUAGUAAGAUGAGAGAACAUUUAUAGAUCACCAAGCAUUUCUGUCAGGGCCUCAGGAAUGACAUACUCAUUCCUGUCUGGUGACACGCUCAAAUGAGAAUAGCUGAGGAGGAACUAAUUAUAAAGGUCUAGGGAAGGGAAGAGAACCCUAAAAGAUGGGGCAGUUGCCCAGAAUUGGUAAUACUGGAGGCUAAUACUCCCAGCAGCAAAGUAAGAGGUGACAGAGGGCCAUUGCCAGAACUCUAAAUUUAUAGAAGGAAUUCUGUAGUACAGCCCCCUUGAAAGGAUUAAUGACAUCUGGGACACAAUCAAAGGUGACCUUCCAGGGACAGAAUCAAAACAAACAAACAAAACCUUGACCUCGCCCUCC
rnacentral:lncRNA from 1 species